AUGCAGCGACGCCGCGUGAGGGAUGACGGCCUUCGGGUUGUAAACCUCUUUCAGUAGGGAAGAAGCGAAAGUGACGGUACCUACAGAAGAAGCACCGGCUAACUACGUGCCAGCAGCCGCGGUAAUACGUAGGGUGCGAGCGUUAUCCGGAAUUAUUGGGCGUAAAGAGCUCGUAGGCGGUUUGUCGCGUCUGUCGUGAAAGUCCGGGGCUUAACCCCGGAUCUGCGGUGGGUACGGGCAGACUAGAGUGCAGUAGGGGAGACUGGAAUUCCUGGUGUAGCGGUGGAAUGCGCAGAUAUCAGGAGGAACACCGAUGGCGAAGGCAGGUCUCUGGGCUGUAACUGACGCUGAGGAGCGAAAGCAUGGGGAGCGAACAGGAUUAGAUACCCUGGUAGUCCAUGCCGUAAACGUUGGGCACUAGGUGUGGGGACCAUUCCACGGUUUCCGCGCCGCAGCUAACGCAUUAAGUGCCCCGCCUGGGGAGUACGGCCGCAAGGCUAAAACUCAAAGGAAUUGACGGGGGCCCGCACAAGCGGCGGAGCAUGCGGAUUAAUUCGAUGCAACGCGAAGAACCUUACCAAGGCUUGACAUGUUCUCGAUCGCCGUAGAGAUACGGUUUCCCCUUUGGGGCGGGUUCACAGGUGGUGCAUGGUUGUCGUCAGCUCGUGUCGUGAGAUGUUGGGUUAAGUCCCGCAACGAGCGCAACCCUCGUUCCAUGUUGCCAGCACGUAAUGGUGGGGACUCAUGGGAGACUGCCGGGGUCAACUCGGAGGAAAGGUGAGGACGACGUCAAAUCAUCAUGCCCCUUAUGUCUUGGGCUUCA
rnacentral:rRNA from 1 species